rnacentral:rRNA from 1 species
UACGUAGGGUGCGAGCGUUAAUCGGAAUUACUGGGCGUAAAGUGUGCGCAGGCGGCCGAGCAAGUCGAGUGUGAAAGCCCCGGGCUUAACUUGGGAAUUGCGCUCGAAACUACUUGGCUGGAGUGUGGCAGAGGAAGGUGGAAUUCCAGGUGUAGCGGUGAAAUGCGCAGAUAUCAGGAGGAACACCUAUUGCGAAGGCAGCUCGCUGGGACGUUACUGACGCUGAGACGCGAAAGCGUGGGGAGCAAACAGG